GAUGAACGCUGGCGGCGUGCCUAAUACAUGCAAGUCGAGCGAACGGACGAGAAGCUUGCUUCUCUGAUGUUAGCGGCGGACGGGUGAGUAACACGUGGAUAACCUACCUAUAAGACUGGGAUAACUUCGGGAAACCGUAGCUAAUACCGGAUAAUAUUUUGAACCGCAUGGUUCAAAAGUGAAAGACGGUCUUGCUGUCACUUAUAGAUGGAUCCGCGCUGCAUUAGCUAGUUGGUAAGGUAACGGCUUACCAAGGCAACGAUGCAUAGCCGACCUGAGAGGGUGCUCGGCCACACUGGAACUGGGACACGGUCCAGACUCCUACGGGAGGCAGCAGUAGGGAAUCUUCCGCAAUGGGCGAAAGCCUGACGGAGCAACGCCGCGUGAGUGAUGAAGGUCUUCGGGUCGUAAAACUCUGUUAUUAGGGAAGAACAUAUGUGUAAGUAACUGUGCACAUCUUGACGGUACCUAAUCAGAAAGCCACGGCUAACUACGUG
rnacentral:rRNA from 1 species